UACGGAGGGUGCAAGCGUUUGUCCGGAAUCACUGGGCGUAAAGGGCGCGUAGGCGGCUCAUGAAGGCUGUGGUGAAAGUCCGGGGCUCAACCUCGGAUCGGCCGUGGCGACUCGUGGGCUGGAGCACUGUAGAGGCGGGUGGAAUUCCGGGUGUAGCGGUGGAAUGCGUAGAUAUCAGGAGGAACACCGGCGGUGUAGACGGCUUUCUGGACCGUAGCUGACGCUGAGACACGAAAGCGUGGGUAGCAAACAGG
rnacentral:rRNA from 1 species